GCAUCGGUGGUUCAGUGGAAGAAUGCUCGCCUGCCACGCGGGCGGCCAGGGUUCGAUUCCCGGCCGAUGCA
rnacentral:tRNA from 1 species